UACGAAGGGGGCUAGCGUUGCUCGGAAUUACUGGGCGUAAAGGGCGCGUAGGCGGAUAGUUUAGUCAGAGGUGAAAGCCCAGGGCUCAACCUUGGAAUUGCCUUUGAUACUGGCUAUCUUGAGUUCGGGAGAGGUGAGUGGAAUGCCGAGUGUAGAGGUGAAAUUCGUAGAUAUUCGGCGGAACACCAGUGGCGAAGGCGGCUCACUGGCUCGUAACUGACGCUCAGGCGCGACAGCGUGGGGAUCAAACAGG
rnacentral:rRNA from 1 species